CCUUAGACGACCUGGUGGUCCCGGGCUCCCCCAGGAACACCAUAUCGAUACCAAACUUAGUGCGGACACCCGUUCGACAUACCGCGCUGCAGCCCAGAGCUCCUCAGCUCAUUCGAUCCACCAACCUCAGCCUCCCAGUGACUUGGAUUACAGGCACGCGCCACCGCGCCCGGCGAGAAACUCAGCUGCAGGUAACGGUGAUAAAGUGUGAGUGGAAACAAACUCUCUCAAUAUGUCAAUGUGGGGGUUGAUGUCCAUCUACCUUGUCACAAUACGGCUGAUCCAGAAGACUGCUCCUCAACUACAUGGCUUUACUCCAGAGCUGGGAUUGGGAAUGCUAUUGCAGUUUUCUCUAAGGGGGAGGUGAGACAUAACUCACAGAGAACUGAGAGACUGAGUGUGAAGGCUCAGUCUCUAUAUCUGUAAGUCGCUUUGGAUAAAAGCGUCUGCUAAAUGGCAUAUUAUUAUUAUUUAUUAUUAUAUCUUCAAAGUGUCACAGCUGAAGAUGCUGGACUCUACACCUGUUGAGUAAACAACAGAACCCCAUUUGAGACAGAUAAUGAUACCUAUUUGUCUAUUCUCACCAGUGAGUUUUUCUGUUUACAGUAAAGUCAAGAGCGAAAAGUUGUCUUAGUUAUACAACAUAUACAAUACAGUAGUACACAAUAAAUGUACAACUACCACAA